rnacentral:rRNA from 1 species
AGUGAACGCUGGCGGUAGGCCUAACACAUGCAAGUCGAACGGCAGCACAGUAAGAGCUUGCUCUUACGGGUGGCGAGUGGCGGACGGGUGAGGAAUACAUCGGAAUCUACUUUUUCGUGGGGGAUAACGUAGGGAAACUUACGCUAAUACCGCAUACGACCUACGGGUGAAAGCAGGGGAUCUUCGGACCUUGCGCGAUUGAAUGAGCCGAUGUCGGAUUAGCUAGUUGGCGGGGUAAAGGCCCACCCAGGCGACGAUCCGUAGCUGGUCUGAGAGGAUGAUCGGCCACACUGGAACUGAGACACGGUCCAGACUCCUACGGUAGGCAGCAGUGGGGAAUAUUGGACAAUGGGCGCAAGCCUGAUCCAGCCAGACCGCGUGUGUGAAGAAGGCCUUCGGGUUGUAAAGCCCUUUUGUUGGGAAAGAAAAGCAGCAGGUUAAUACCCCGCUGUUCUGACGGUACCCAAAGAAUAAGCACCGGCUAACUUCGUG